rnacentral:rRNA from 1 species
UACUCCUACGGGAGGCAGCAGUAAGGAAUAUUGGUCAAUGGACGCAAGUCUGAACCAGCCAUGCCGCGUGGAGGAUUAAGGCCUUUGGGUUGUAAACUCCUUUUAUCUGGGAAGAAAUGCAUUUUUUCUAAAGUGCUUGACGGUACCAGAGGAAUAAGCACCGGCUAACUCCGUGCCAGCAGCCGCGGUAAUACGGAGGGUGCAAGCGUUAUCCGGAUUUACUGGGUUUAAAGGGUGCGUAGGCGGAUAGGUAAGUCAGUGGUGAGAUCUCCGAGCUUAACUCGGAAACUGCCGUUGAUACUAUUUAUCUUGAAUAUUGUGGAGGUAAGCGGAAUAUGUCAUGUAGCGGUGAAAUGCUUAGAUAUGACAUGGAACACCAAUUGCGAAGGCAGCUUACUACACAGUUAUUGACGCUGAGGCACGAAAGCGUGGGGAUCAAACAGG